AUUUAAUAGUUGUAUAUCAAAUAAUUUUAAACAUAGAAUAGAGAAGUAUAUGAAUUAUGUUUUGUGCUGCUUUAAAAACAAAAAUAAGUUUAUUUUCUUAUAAAAUAGGUAUUGGUGCUUUUACAAUUCAAUAACUCAUUAUGGUUACAAAAUUCGAAGAAAUUUCAAAGAUCAAAUAAAUCAUUUUCUUUAAACAAUUUUCACAGGUUCAUGAUUUGAAUACAUUAACAGUAUGUCCCCAAUUAUAAUAAUAAAACAUACUUUUAUUUAUUUCAUUUCCCGUUUGAAACCAGAUUCCCUAUGGUACGGUUGUUUACAAACAAAUCCACAACACGUGCUAUCUAAAAUGCUCGACCAGACCAACUAAAUUAUCGUGUUUAUUUUUAGCAACAAAAUCACUAGAUACGUUUAUCGCUUACAUUUAUUUUGGAGACCGUGCCCGAUAACAAAUAAAUUUACAUUGCAAAUUUUAUUUCUAUCGGGCACGCUCUCCAAUUAAAAUGUAAGCGAUAAACUAAAAUAAUAUUUAGUGAAUUUUUACACCUGAUUGUAUUCAUCCGCCAUUUCUUGAUUAAGCAAAUUUAUACUUAUGCAAUGAGUUGUCAAUAACCAGGUAGGCAGGUUUUUUUGUACACAAUUUAGUUUAAUAAAUGGAAUAAAAAUCGUGUAAUACGUUUAAUACUUUAAGGAACUUGUUUCUUAUGCGCAUUUAAAAGGCGGUGCAGUGCAUGAAUUUGGACGAUUGCCAAUCCAGACGAUCGCUAGAAGGCUGUCGAGCAUUAGAUCGACGCCUUAAAAAUUAUCUUUCACGAUUCAUGAUUUUUUUAUCUUUGAUAUGUUGUAGCCAGUGAUAAUAAGAUACUUCUAUACUUAAUUCAUGAUUAUUUCAAAUUCUGCGUGUUAAAAGCAGAAAAGGGUCAAUAAAUGUCUGAUUCCUGAAUCAUCAACUCGGGUCAGUACUUUCAGUACUUUGAUUUAACACGUUCUGUUGACAUUUCAAUGAUAGACUGGCAAUGCAUAAUAUCGUAUGAUAGAGACAAAGGACCAGUAUAUUUUAAUGACAAAGAAAUAGGAGCUAUUUGCAUUAUAUCGCACAUUAUUAAUUAACGUUUGUGCUCAAAAUCCACUCCAAGAGAUCCGAUGACAGCAAGGGUCUUCUUGCUUCGCGAGCUGGGUUUUUCUAAAAAUAGAUUUUACGCUUAAUAUGGAACAAGCUUUUCCCCGUGUAAGUUGUCGAAUUCAUGGGCUGCGAUUGAACAAAAACUACCUUGAUUUGUUUUAUUUUUUAAACAUCAAGAAAAACUUUAAAAAUAUAUCAAGAUUGUUUAAAAGUUAACCAUUCCAAAUUGGAAAUCAAGCAAACAAAAGAGGUUAAUGCAUCACUAUUUUCAUUAGCGCAUGAAUAAUGUAGUGCAAAAUUUUUGCAGAAACGGCUAUGAUAACAAGGACUCGCUCGCUUUGCAAGCCGACUCAAUAAUCUAAAUAAAACCAAAUAGCUAUACUGGAAUGAGACCAAUUCUCACCAAAGACCAUUUCUCACCAGUGCAUUGAUAUGUCAAUUUAUCAACACAUAAAAUUUUAUAUGAACAAGAAUAGAAUUCCUGGGCUGAUUUAGGAACUUGACCAAGGUAUUAGUGGUAUAAACAUUUGGUAUAAAUUUCAUGUAAAUCCGUCAAAAUUUGUAGGCAUGAGAGCGCUUACAAGGUCAAUUUUUGGAUAAAACGGAGUCAUUAUUGUGGUCAAAGUCCCAUAACUUCAACAGACCAAAGUAUUAGUGGUAUGAACAUUUGGUAUAAAUUUAAUGAAAAUCUGUCAAAAUUUGUAGGCAUGAGAGCGCUUACAAAAAAGUGUGACGGACGAACACACGGACGCACGCCCGGCAUUUCUAUGUCCCUGCUCCGCGUUGCGGCGGGGGACAAAAAUGAUGUAACAAUGCAUUGGCAUUAAUGGUAAUUGGGGAGAAUUGGUAGCACACCAGUACUAUUAAUGAAAUUAAAAUACAGAGAAAGAAAUCAGUUUGCAAUAAAAUGAAAUGGAUACCAGCAGGGUUGUCUCUAAAAAUUGAAG